UUCGUACGUAGCAGAGCAGCUCCCUCG
rnacentral:piRNA from 6 species